rnacentral:misc_RNA from 1 species
AACUUUUGACAAUGGAUCACUUGGCUCUCGCAUCGAUGAAGAACGCAGCGAAAUGCGAUAAGUAAUGUGAAUUGCAGAUUUUUGUGGAUCAUCGAGUUUUUGAACGCACAUUGCGCUCUCUGUUGAGGAGAGCAUACCUGUUUGAGAGUUGCUUAUAACCUUCACCGGCCUUUUUUGGCUGCGUGGUGUUGGAUUUUGCUUCGCAAGAAAGCAUCGUCUGUAAAGGUUUCGACUCUGGUUCGUGGUGAAAGCAGCAACGAUGAGUUUCUUGGAAACCGGUGUUGACUGAAAGCCGCGGAUCGAGAGUCGUUAAGCAUUGGAUCUCAGUUUCAACCUCAGAUCAGGUAAGAGGACCCGCUGAACUUAAGCAUAUCAAUAAGCGGAGGCU